AGUGUUUAAUGCUAGAAACUUUGAGGGGGGGGGGGGUAGAAUGUCACUCUUGCCUGAGAGCCCUGACUAAGUGUGGUAAAGCCACAUAUUUGUUUAUAUAUUUCUGCAAUCUUCACUUUAGUUUGUGUGAUUUGUUUCUGACUUUCAUAUGAAUGUUUACACCAGGCUUGGUCAGUUCUUAAUACUACUGUGACUCAAGUAGUUAAAUAAAAGAUGUCAUUCAUAUAAAUUCAUGCAUCACCUAAUUUCAUCAUGACAUACAGGCCUGGCCUCCAGGAAAGAACAGUUUGUUUAAUAUAUCUAAUCUUGUGUUGUUCAUACUAUACAAUGAUUUAUUACAGAUUAUCUGGCCAAUGCUGGGUGUCUAAGGCCUUUGAAACGCAUAGAAGACAAAGAUCUCUUGGUGGAGGAUAUCAUGUUUCAGGUGGUUCAUCAAGUCAAUGGAGCACUUCAAAGAUUCAGGGAGGGGAUGAAGACCCUUGGUGUUCUUGAUGCAAUAAGAAUGCCCCCAGAUGCUUUCAGACCGCUGUCUUGUCACGAGCCAUCCCCACUCACAGCUGAUGUUCUAGAACAGCUCUUUGAAAUUCGACUGUCAGCAGUGGGCAGCAACAAAAGAAGGGCAGAGGAAUGUGUGGUUGCAUUUUGGAGGGACUACCUCAUGGAUGUUUAGGAACAAGAGGGACCCUUUGGGGGUGUCCUGGCCUUUGCAACGGGAGCAAAUGAUAUUCCACCCCUGGGCUUCUGCCCACGACCUUCAGUGGUUUUUCUCCAUGAGCUGCCCCUCAGACAAGGCCGUCAUUUACCCACCACAAACACAUGCAUUAACUGCCUGCGGUUGCCAGUCCUGAACAAAUUCGAGGAUUUUAAGGAAACUAUGGAUUUUGCAUUAAAAAACACUCAGGGAUUUGGUCAGGAAUGACUUCCGAGAACUCCUUAACGGUCAGUGUAUGUUUUGGUCAUUCGAUUUUCAUUUCAUUAACAGGUAUUAAAGAAACAAAAAAAUGAAUGGUUAUUUGAUUUUUGUUUUAAAAUACAAAAUUUGAAAUUUAAA